rnacentral:sRNA from 1 species
GCGAGCGUAUGUUCCGCCGUGUCCAGGU